rnacentral:rRNA from 1 species
ACUCAAAUGAAUUGACGGGGACCCGCACAAGCAGUGGAGCAUGUGGUUUAAUUCGAUGCAACGCGAAGAACCUUACCCAGACUUGACAUACAGGGGAAUACGCCAGAAAUGGUGUAGCUCUUCGGAGCCGCUGUACAGGUGCUGCAUGGCUGUCGUCAGCUCGUGCCGUGAGGUGUUGGGUUAAGUCCCGCAACGAGCGCAACCCUUAUCAUUAGUUGCCAACAGGUAAUGCUGGGAACUCUAGUGAGACUGCCUGGGUUAACCAGGAGGAAGGUGAGGAUGACGUCAAGUCCGCAUGGCCCUUAUGUCUGGGGCUACACACGUGCUACAAUGGGGGGUACAGAAAGCAGCGAAGCCGCGAGGUGAAGCAAAUCUCCAAAGCCCCUCUCAGUUCAGAUUGUAGUCUGCAACUCGACUACAUGAAGCUGGAAUUGCUAGUAAUGGCGUGUCAGCUACAACGCCGUGAAUACGUUCCCGGGUCUUGUACACACCGCCCGU